UACGAAGGGGGCUAGCGUUGUUCGGAAUUACUGGGCGUAAAGCGCGUGUAGGCGGGUCUUUAAGUCAGGGGUGAAAUGCCAAGGCUCAACCUUGGGACUGCCUUUGAUACUGGAGAUCUUGAGUCCGGGAGAGGUGAGUGGAACUGCGAGUGUAGAGGUGAAAUUCGUAGAUAUUCGCAAGAACACCAGUGGCGAAGGCGGCUCACUGGCCCGGAACUGACGCUGAGACGCGAAAGCGUGGGGAGCAAACAGG
rnacentral:rRNA from 1 species